rnacentral:rRNA from 1 species
AUCCAGAGCUAGGGAUAUAUGGCUGGCAGAGCAGUUCUCCAUUGAAUUGUCAGUGAAGCUCAUAACGAUCCUUGAAAAUCCGAGUAAGAUUAUCUCAUCACACCAGGUCGUACCCAUAACCGCAUCAGGUCUCCAAGGUUAGCAGCCUCUGGUCGAUAGAAUAACGUAGAUAAGGGAAUUCGGCAAAUUAGAUCCGUAACUUCGGGAAAAGGAUUGGCUCUGAGGGUUGAGUGUGGUGCCAAUGAAAUGGAACUAGGAUCUGUACUGGUGUUGGUCGCAAGAUCGAAACCGGCAUGGAGAGAAGGAAAAUUUUUGCGGCUAGCACAAUUAACAACCGACUCAGAACUGAAGCGGACAAGGGGAAUCCGACUGUUUAAUAAAAACAUAGCUUUGUGAUGGCCUCAAAAGGUGUUGACACAAAGUGAUUUCUGCCCAGUGCUUUGAAUGUGAAUAUGAAGUAAUUUAUAGAAGCUCAGGUAAACGGCGGGAGUAACUAUGACUCUCUUAAGGUAGCCAAAUGCCUCGUCAUCUAAUUAGUGACGCGCAUGAAUGGAUUAAUGAGAUUCCCACUGUCCCUAUCUACCAUCUAGCGAACCCAUAGCCAAGGGAACGAGCUUGGAAUAAUCAGCGGGGAAAGAAGACCCUGUUGAGCUUGACUCUAGUCCGACUUUGUGAAAUGACUUUCGAGAUAUAGCCUAAGUGGGAGCUAACGCGCCGCUGUAAAACCACUGCUCGCUUAGCCAUUUUACUUACUCCAUGAAGAAGUGGCCGAUUUUUCGGUUCUUAGAUUUAAGCCCUGACUCGUAUCAGGGCAAGCUUUGUGGAGGACACAGUCAGGUGGGGAGUUUGACUGGGGCGGUACAUCUGUUAAAACGUAACGCAGGUGUCCUACGGUGAGCUCAAAGAGAACAGAAAUCUCUUGUAGACCAAAAGGGGAAAAGCUCACUUGAUUUUGAUUUUCAGUACUAAUACAAACCGCGAAAGCGUGGCCUAUCGAUCCUUUAACUUUACAAGUUUUAAGCUAGAGGUGUCAGAAAAGUUACCACAGGGAUAACUGGCUUGUGGCAGCCAAGCGCCCAUAGCGACGUUGCUUUUUGAUCCUUCGAUGUCGGCUCUUCCUAUCAUUGUGAUGUACAAGUCACAACGUGUUGGAUUGUUCACCCGUUAAUAGGGAACGUGAGCUGGGUUUAGACCGUCGUGAGACAGGUUAGUUUUACCCUACUGAUGAAUCGAUGUUGCGACAGUAAUCUUACUUAGUACGAGAGGAACCGUUAGAUCAGAUAAUUGGUUAAUACGGUUAGCUGAAAAGCUAAUGCCGUGAAGCUACCAUCUGUUGGAUUAUGACUGAAAGCCUCUAAGUCAGAAACCAUGCUGGAAAGCAACGUCCAAUCAAUAAUAAAUGAAAAAGAAUAAGGGAAACCUUUAGUUCAGUAUGGGGACGGUCAAACUCGAAAGAGUAUAGCCAAACCCAGAAUAAAUUUUAAUUAUUAUUGU